AUGGAGAAUCUUCCUGUUGAAGUUAUUGGUACAAUAUUAUCCCAUCUUGGGUCUGCUAGGGGUAUUGUGAUUGCAUCCUUAACUUGCAAGAAAUGGAAAGAUGCUUGGCACAAUCACCUCCAUACUCUUUCUUUCGAUACUCGUGAUUGGCACCUAUAUCGCGAAAUUUGUUCUAGUCACAUGGAAAUGGUUAUCACUCGUACACUUCUUCAAACUAGAGGAUUGCAGUGCUUAACGAUUUUUAUGGAUGAUGAUCAUACGUUUAAUGUUACUCCUGUCAUUGCUUGGGUUAUGUAUACAAGGAAUACUUUGCGCCAGCUGCGUUAUAAUGUGAGAACGUCCCCUAAUUUCAAUAUCAUUGAUAAAUGCGGAAGGCAAAGAUUGGAAGUUUUGUCCUUAGCUCACAACCCUAUCUUGCGUGUUGACCCGAGGUAUCACAAAUUUCCUUGCUUGAAGUCUUUGUCGUUGAGUUUCGUUAGCAUCUCAGCAUUGGAUUUGAGUCUUCUGCUUUCUGCAUGUCCGAAACUUGAAACUUUUUCUAUAGUUAGUCCAGAUAUUGCUAUGUCGGAUUUGCAGGCUUCCAUAGAGCUCAGCAGCUCUUCUUUGAAGGAUUUCUUUAUUGAGUCAUUUGAUGUCGAUAGAUUCAUAUUGGAAGCGGAUUUACUCGAGAAUCUACAUCUGAAAGAUUGUACCUUUGAGGUUUUCGAAUUGAUCGGUAAAGGGACGCUGAAAGUACUGAAGAUCGAUGACGUGAGUGUUAUCCAUCUCGACAUUGGGGAUAGUACAGAGAACCUUGAGAUUGUAGAUGUUUUGCACUUCACAAUUUUGUGGCCGGAAUUUUAUAACAUGAUCUCGAAAGCGUCAAAUUUAAAAAAGCUUAGACUGUGGAGUGUUGUUUUUGACAACGAGGACGAGGUUGUUGAUAUAGAGACUAUUUCUGCUUGUUUUCCAAGACUAACACACCUUUCCUUAAGUUAUGAUUUAAAAGAUGGAGUGCUUCAUUAUGGCUUGCAGGGUUUAUCUUCUCUUAUGAAUGUGGUUGUGUUAGAACUUGGAUGGACUACAAUCAGUGAUCUUUUCUCAGUUUGGGUAGCUGGACUUUUGGAAGGAUGUCCUAAUCUAAAAAAGUUGGUCAUUUAUGGUUAUAUUUUUGAGGUCUCAACACAUGAAGAGCUUCAAACUUUUGCUAGAUUUUCUGAAUUCAUGCUUCGACUAGGAAGAAAAUAUAGUCAUGUAAAGUUUGAUUUUGAUUAUGAGUAGUAGGUUCAGUUCAGCCACACUCACUCAAUCAUUGCUGUCAAAGUAUCAAUCUCAUUCAACAAGGAAGGUUUUGAUAAUUUAAGACUUUUUAUUGAAACAUUGGUUUUGUUAAUUUUUGUUAUGCUAUGGAGAAUUUUCCUGUUGAAGUAAUUGGUAUCAUAUUAUCCCAUCUUGGGUCUGCUAGGGAUAUUGUGAUUGCAUCCUUAACUUGCAAGAAAUGGAAAGAUGCUUGGCACAAUUACCUCCACGCUCUUUCUUUCAAUACUCGUGAUUGGCACAUAUAUGGCGAAGUUUGUUCUGGUCACUUGGAAAUGUUUAUCACUUGUACACUUUUUCAAACUAGAGGAUUGCAGUGCUUAACAAUUUUAAUGGAUUAUGACCAUGUGUUUAAUGUUACUCCUGUCAUUGCUUGGGUUAUGUCUACAAGGGAUACUUUGCGCCAGCUGCGUUAUAAUGUGAGAACAUGGCCUGAUUUCAAUAUCAUUGAUAAAUGCGGCAGGGAAAGAUUGGAAGUUUUGUCCUUGGCUCGUAACCCUAUCUUGCGUGUUGACCCAAGGUAUCACAAAUUUCCUUGCUUGAAGUCGUUGUCGUUGAGUUCCGUUAGCAUCUCGGCGUUGGAUUUGAGUCUUCUGCUUUCUGCAUGUCCGAAACUUGAAACUUUUUCUAUAGUUAGUCCAGAUAUCGCUAUGUCGGAUUUGCAGGCUUCCAUAGAGCUCAACAGCUCUUCUUUGAAGGAGUUCUUUAUCGAGUCAUUUGUUGUCGAUAGAUUCAUAUUGGAAGCGGAAUCACUCGAGAAUCUACAUCUGACAGAUUGUACCUUUGAGGUUUUCGAAUUGAUCGGUAAAGGGACAUUGAAAGUAUUGAAGAUCGAGGAUGUGAGUGUUAUCCAUCUCGACAUUGGGGAUAGUACGGAGAACCUUGAGAUUCUAGAUGUUUUUCACUCCACAAUUUUGUGGCCGGAAUUUUAUAACAUGAUCUCGAAAGCGUCAAAUUUAAAAAAGCUUAGACUGUGGAGUGUUGUUUUUGAUAAUGAGGAUGAGGUUGUUGAUAUAGAAACCAUUUCUGCUUGUUUUCCAAGACUAACACACCUUUCCUUAAGUUAUGAUUUAAAAGAUGGAGUGCUUCAUUAUGGCUUGCAGGGUUUGUCUUCUCUUAUGAAUGUGGUUGUGUUAGAACUUGGAUGGACUACAAUCAGUGAUCUUUUCUCAGUUUGGGUAGCUGGACUUUUGGAAGGAUGUCCUAACCUAAAGAAAUUGGUCAUUUAUGGUUACAUUGCUGAGGUUAAACCACAUGAAGAGCUUCAAACUUUUUCUAGAUUUUCUGAAUUCAUGCUUCAACUAGUAAGAAAAUAUAGUCAUGUAAAGUUUGAUUUUCAUUAUGAGUAGUAGGUUCAGCCACACUCAAUCAUUGCUGUCAAAGUAUCAAUCUCAUUCAACAAGGAAGGUACUUCCAUGUUCCCUGACUUUCUUGUGUCCUUUUCCUCAAGUAGCCCAAACAUUGUUCAUUUCUAGUUAUAGAUUCUUGUUUUUUUUAAUUAAGAAAGUUAAAGGUUCUCUGUAGAAGAAAGAUUUCCUUUUCUUUUUGUGUAUCUUCAGCUACCAUUUCAACCUAAGGUUUUAAA